UGGGGAAUAUUGCACAAUGGGCGCAAGCCUGAUGCAGCCAUGCCGCGUGUAUGAAGAAGGCCUUCGGGUUGUAAAGUACUUUCAGUCGGGAGGAAGGUGGUAAGGUUAAUAACCUUAUCAAUUGACGUUACCGACAGAAGAAGCACCGGCUAACUCCGUGCCAGCAGCCGCGGUAAUACGGAGGGUGCAAGCGUUAAUCGGAAUUACUGGGCGUAAAGCGCACGCAGGCGGUUUGUUAAGUCAGAUGUGAAAUCCCCGGGCUCAACCUGGGAACUGCAUCUGAUACUGGCAAGCUUGAGUCUCGUAGAGGGGGGUAGAAUUCCAGGGGUAGCGGUGAAAUGCGUAGAGAUCUGGAGGAAUACCGGUGGCGAAGGCGGCCCCCUGGACGAAGACUGACGCUCAGGUGCGAAAGCGUGGGGAGCAAACAGG
rnacentral:rRNA from 1 species